UACGUAGGGGGCGAGCGUUGUCCGGAUUCAUUGGGCGUAAAGGGCGCGUAGGCGGCCUGGUGCGUCGCUUGUGAAAUCUCCCGGCUCAACUGGGAGGGGUCGAGCGAUACGGCUGGGCUGGAGGACGGCAGGGGGAAGCGGAAUUCCCGGUGUAGUGGUGGAAUGCGUAGAUAUCGGGAGGAACACCAGUGGCGAAGGCGGCUUCCUGGACCGGGCCUGACGCUGAGGCGCGAAAGCGUGGGGAGCGAUCCGG
rnacentral:misc_RNA from 1 species